UACGGAGGGUGCAAGCGUUGUCCGGAAUCAUUGGGCGUAAAGCGCGCGUAGGUGGCCUCAUAAGUCCGCUGUGAAAGUCAAAGGCUCAACCUUUGAAAGCCGGUGGAUACUGUGGGGCUAGAGUACGGAAGAGGCGAGUGGAAUUCCUGGUGUAGCGGUGGAAUGCGCAGAUAUCAGGAGGAACACCAAUAGCGAAGGCAGCUCGCUGGGACGUUACUGACACUGAGGCGCGAAAGCGUGGGGAGCGAACAGG
rnacentral:rRNA from 1 species